AAUGAACGCUGGCGGCAGGCCUAACACAUGCAAGUCGAACGACCGGACAGGAAGAUCGCGCCCUUGCGGGUAGCGAGUGGCGGGCGGGUGAGGAGUACAUCGGAAUCCACUUUUACGUGGAGGAUUACGUAAAACGACAUACGCUAGUAACGCAUAUGACGUACGGGUGAGACCAAGAGAGAUUAGCACCUUGGUGGUUUAAAUGCGCCGAUGUCGGAUUAGCUAGGUUGGGUGGUAAAGGCCCAGCAAGGCGAGGCUGCGUAGCUGGUCUGAGAGGAUGAUCGGCCACACUGGAACUGAGACACGGUCCAGACUCCUACGGGAGGACGCAGUGGGGAAUCUUACGCAAUGGGGGAGAGCCUGAUACAGCAAAACCGCGUGAGUGAUGAAGGACCUCGGCUUGUAAAGCGCUGUUGGUGGGAAAGAAGAAAAGCAGGUUAAUAUCUGGAGAUAAUGACGGUACCCAAAGAAAAAGCCCCGGCUAACUUCGUG
rnacentral:rRNA from 1 species